UACGUAGGUGGCAAGCGUUUGUCCGGAUUAUUGGGUUAAAGGUGCGUAGGCGGCCCCGUAAGUCAGUGCUGAAAUAUCCCGGCUUAACCGGGAGGGUGGCAUUGAUACUGCAGGGCUUGAGUAAAGUUGAGGUAGGCGGAAUUGACGGUGUAGCGGUGAAAUGCUUAGAUAUCGUCAAGAACACCGAUAGUGUAGACAGCUUACUAAGCUUUAACUGACGCUGAGGCACGAAAGUGUGGGGAUCAAACAGG
rnacentral:rRNA from 1 species